AGGAUUCCCCUAGUAGCGGCGAGCGAACCGGGAAGAGCCCAGCUUGAAAAUCGCGUCGCCUCGAGCGGCGCGAGUUGUAAUCUGGAGAAGCGUCCUCCGCGGCGGACCGGUCCCAAGUUCCCUGGAAAGGGACGUCAGAGAGGGUGAGAACCCCGUCGGGAUCGGACCCUGCCGCCCCACGAGGCGCUGUCGACGAGUCGGGCUGUUUGGGAAUGCAGCCCUAAGUGGGAGGUAAAUUCCUUCCAAGGCUAAAUACGGGCGGGAGACCGAUAGCGAACAAGUACCGCGAGGGAAAGAUGAAAAGGACUUUGAAAAGAGAGUUAAAGAGUGCUUGAAAUUGCUGGGAGGGAAGCGAAUGGAGGCCUCGGGCGCGCCCCGGUCGGAUGCGGAACGGCGUCAAGCUGGUCCGCCGCUCGACGCGGGGCGCCGGUCAGCGUGGGCUGUCGCGGCGGGACAAAAGUCGGCCUUCAGUGGCCGGCCGGAAUGCCGUCGGGGCGGCCGAGGGACCGAAGCGCGCGCCCUCUGGGCGGGCCUCCCUUCGCGGGGGGGCACCUGCGCGCUCGGGACGCUGGCGUUGUGGGCUUUUCAUCCGACCCGUCUUGAAACACGGACCAAGGAGUCUAACAUGCAUGCGAGCCGGUGGGCGGCAAACCCACGUUGAGGCGCAAAGAAAUUGACAGGUGUGAUCCCCUUUGAAACGGGGUGCAACAUCGACCGACCAUGAUCUUCUGUGAAAGGUUCGAGUGAGAGCAUGCCUGAUGGGACCCGAAAGAUGGUGAACUAUGCCUGAGCAGGGCGAAGUCAGAGGAAACUCUGGUGGAGGCUCGUAGCGAUACUGACGUGCAAAUCGUUCGUCAGACUUGGGUAUAGGGGCGAAAGACUAAUCGAACCAUCUAGUAGCUGGUUCCCUCCGAAGUUUCCCUCAGGAUAGCUGGAGCACGAGAGAAGUUUUAUCGGGUAAAGCGAAUGAUUAGAGGCAUCGGGGGUGAAACACCCUCGACCUAUUCUCAAACUUUAAAUAGGUAAGACGCCGGGGUUGCUUGAGUGAACCCCCGG
rnacentral:rRNA from 1 species